GGGGGCGGGGCCAAGGGGCCGCGUGUGCAGCCUUCCUCUCCGCGCCGCCGGCUCCCUCCGCCCCGCGGCUGUAAAACGCCCAGAAAGCUGGCGCUGUGGAAAAAAACAACAUUUCUCCUCAAAAACGGGCAAUCCGUGGAUUGCAGCACACAAAGUUGGAAAAAUGAGACUGGCUGUCGGAGCUGUUGCACAGUUCUGUGAUUUAACCAGACAGGAUUCCUCUUCAUUCCAGUCCUGGGAGCACGGAGGCUGGGCUCUUCCUCAGAGGCCUGGAGCAGCCCUUUCCUGUUUGUGGAAUGUCCUCUCUGGCUUCCCAUGUGGGAAACCCUCCUACAGAUCCAACUUCCGUGCUGCCUCCUCCAGGGAGGCCUCUCUGACUCCCUGUGGCUGAAUUGGGACUUCGAAGACACAUCGCUUGAACACGAUUUACUCCUUUGCUGAGUGUCCACAGACCCUCAUUCCUCAUGUCCGCUCACUUCCUGGUGAAACCCCUGCUGUCAUGAUGCUCCUGUGAAUUCCAGUUUUUCUGUAUCAACUCUGCUUUACCUCUGUAUUAAACAGGGGGAAAAGGUAAGAAUGAAUAAAUACUUGAUUACAGAUUCAAAACAGAUUAUACUCAGAGAUGGAUGUCUGAACACCCAGUCUCAAAUGUUCUUUCAGUUUUGAGGGUAGAGCCCAGAAGAUAUGCUUCAAGCUGCCACGAAGUGGAUUAAGGAUCUGAGGCUUUGCUACAUGCUGCAGCCUAGGUACAGAUAUGGCUCGGCUCCCAAGUUUCUAUGGCUGUGGUGUAGACGGGCAGCUGCAACUCAGAUUCAACCCCUAGCCCAGAAACUUGCAUAUGCCGCAGGUGUGGCCUUAACCCUAAAAAUGAAAUUCAAAUAAAAUAAAAUAAAAAUAAAGUAAAAUGUCAAAAAGACAUGCCUUGGGUUUUUUUCCCUCUUCCUGUUGGGCACACAGGAAUCAGGAAACUCAUAUCUCUAAAUUUUGAAACAUUUUCUCUUUUUGUUUUGUUUUGUUUUUGCUUUUCAGGGCCGCACUCGCGGCAUGUGGAGGUUCCCAGGCUAGGGGUCAAAUCGGAGCUGUAGCACCGGCCUACACCACAGCCACAGCAACAGCAACACCAGAUCCGAGCCGUGUCUGCAACCUACACCACAGCUCAUGGCAAUGCCAGAUCCUUAACCCACCUGAUCAAGGCCAGGGAUCGAACCUGCGUCCUCAUGGAUUCAAGUCAGAUUCAUUUCCACUCAGCCCUAACAGGAACUCCUGAAGCGUUUUCUUGAAUAAUUUCCAUGAUAACUUCCUCUGUUUUCUUACUUCUUUCUGCCAUUUAAAUGUGAUUUGGAUAUGCCGACUGAAAAUAAACGCACACCC
rnacentral:lncRNA from 1 species